GGGGUGCCCGUGAAACGGCGAGCGUUAACCGGGACGCUGGGAUUCAGACUCGACGCACCACAGUGCAGCAUCCACCAGCUGAGGGGCUGCAGUGGAUGAUGACUGGUUGAAGCAGCCUCGCCUGGCCUGGUCUGACUGGACUCUAGGGCUGGUUGAAGCAGCCUCACCUGUAGCAGUAAUCAGUGAGCACAGGUUAGACCAGCCCUCACACACCAGAUGGCAACAACACCAUGUGUCAUGAUCAAACCUCUCCAGUAACCGGGUUCUAACACCCCC
ensembl:lncRNA